UGCGCCUUGUGCAGCGAGCUAGGCUGGAUUGGACUGUCGUGACUCAAGCUGGCGCUGGAACCCUGAAGAAGGGUAAGGAGGGGUCCGUGGGGGAAUUCCUCAAGAACACUCAACUGAGACCCUACUUCUGCGUGGACCUGCCCCCAAGACCGCCCCUACGUAUAUCCACCCCAUCACCCCGGGGCCUCUGAGGUCGCAGAUCAGUGGUCGAAUGCAAACGCACGCGUGCGUCUCCCGUUUGGUGUUGCCGAGUUGUGGUCCGGCGCUCAGAGCUCCCGGUGAUUGGUUCGAGCCAGCAGAUUGUGCUCAGACGGGCCGAAUGGACCACAGUGCGUCCCUUACUACAACAGCAUUGUCUUCCAGGCAGUGGCACCCGGCUCCUGUCUACACAGUGGGUUCUGCCCCAAAGUCAAGGACAGUUGAGGAGCUGCCCCGUGCUCCUGCCAACAGCCAAAGCUACUUGGCCCUGGAUCCCUAGAAGCAGCAUUACCGGAAGGGCAAAGACCUCCCAACCCAGUUCACCCAUGCCAUGCACCUACCAACGACCUGAGGCCAUUAGGAGAGCAGUGGCUGGAGCAGAGUCGGUCCCCUCUCUCUGAGUAGAUGGCCAGCACUUGGAGAGCCCACCGUGGCUCUGGAGUCACACAAAUGGCCUCAGCACUUCUUGCGCAAUGUCAGCUAGUCAGGUGUUCUCAAAUUCUUAUCUCUCAUCCAGAGAGCGCAGUUGUCCACCCUACCCUGGAUUGUAUCACGCCUUACCUUGAGGUAGGAGAGCUAGCUAGAGAAGACUCUAGAAGGAAUAAAUUCCUGUGCAUACCCCACCCUCCUGGUUCUGAUUUUUGUCUCUGGACACAAGGAAUUUCAACACAGUUAACCAGGCCACCUGCAAAAGAACCUUUGAGAAACACCACACACAGGAUGGAUAAAAUGGCCAACGAACUGUGAUAUAAGCCCUAUGUCCCCAUGACUCGUGCAUAAGGGUCCCUUUGGAAGUGUCACUGAAUCGUCUGUUCAGGAGAAAGAUGUCUAUUGACACUCAAUUUUUGUGUUUCCCCGAUGUUUCAUUAAUAUUUGUGGCACCCCUGAGCCCAUGGUUAGUGCCUCAGUUCGUGCCUCCCUGCUGUACGGUGUAAGCAACCACAGUAAAGACCACCCUGAGCUACAUGAGACCCUGUCUCAAAAUAACAGCAAAAAGUGAGCUGGGUGUGCCGGCAUUGGUUUGUAAUCCUGACCCUUCGGGAGGUGGAGAUAGGGUGACUGGUCAAGAUUGAUGCCUCCUCUAAGUACUCUAAACUUCCUGUGGGCCAGGUGCCAAGCUGCUCACUCAUCCAUUCAGACGUUCCAGAGCCUGCCCAGGCACCGUGAGAAACACUCCAGAGGAAGAAACCCAGUGCUCCUUGACUGAAUCUCUAGGCUGCUGCCCUCAGAUGCUGUGCCGCAGGCCAUUUGGAGAAGGCAAAUUUGGAAUGAGUUUAACGGAGGUGGUGCUGAGGGACCGUUUAACACUCAUUUCCCGGGAUGGUAGCAAAGUGCGCUCAUGCCACGUUUCAUUGUUUCCAGACGGUUUCCUUCUACCACUGUUCUCAUCACAGGCAUCUGCCUGGCCCGCGAGUUUGUAACUGAGGAUCAUGCUGAACCAAAGCGGCUGAUGAACCAGGAACCAAAUCCCAAACAAUCCCAGUGGUGCAGAGGAGCCAAGGCUCCGGAUAGCCUCCCAGCCACCCGGAAUCAGGGCAUUUCCUGCUUCUCAGGAGGCUCACAGAACGAGGCAGGCAAGGUAAUUUUAAUAAUGACUUUGUAGGCAGGGCUUCAUCAGGAAUGAAGCCCAAGUCAUCCUACAUGAAUGAGCAUCCCAGGAUGUCUAACAGGAAGCAGGCCUGCUACCAAGGGAUGCAAUCAUGCCCUGCCUGCUGCUGACCCACAUGACGUGGCCAGCCCGAGCCCAGUUGUCAGACCUGUUGUGUGAGCUGAUCAAAGUAGAGACUAUCACAUGAUUCAGUGUGAUCCAGCAUCCUGUCAGACCUGUGUGGGCAAGCAGCCUCCCUAGGCAGAUGUGACCCAGUUGGUAAGUGUAGAAGGAGAGCCACACAUCCCAGCAAGGGUACACACAAUUAGCUGAUUUCUAAGCACACAGCGACAACACUCUUUUUGGGGGGUAGGGGUGGGUAAAUGCUGAAAGAUCAGAGACAAAACAACAAGCCACUAGAGAAGCUUGUCACUUGCCGGGCGGUGGUGGCACACGCCUUUAAUCCCAGCACUCGGGAGGCAGAGGCAGGCAGAUCUUUGUAAGUUUGAGGCCAUUCUGGUCUACAGAGCAAGAUCCAGGAAAGGCAAAGCUAGCAAAGCUACACAGAGAAACCCUGUCUUGAAGAAAAAAAAAAAAAGAGAGAGAGAGAUAGAUAGAUAGAAGCUUGUCACCUCUACCGAAUCCUUAGGCCCAAAGGGAAGAUCCUGUCUCCACAAAUCCUCAGACUGAAUGCCCCUGAGUCCUCAGCUGAAAAGGCAAGAUCCUGUUUCCUCCCACCUUAUAUUCCUUUCUCUGCCUUGCCAUAUCACUUCCUGUCUUAACCUUCCUAGUGCUGGGAUUAAAGACAUGUGACUCCCAAGUACUGGGAUUAAAGGUGUGUAGCACCA